GAUGAACGCUAGCGACAGGCCUAACACAUGCAAGUCGAGGGGCAGCACAUGAGUAGCAAUACGAUGGUGGCGACCGGCGCACGGGUGAGUAACACGUAUGCAACCUGCCUUCUACUAUGGGAUAACCCGUUGAAAGACGGACUAAUACCGUAUAAUACAGGGGCUCCGCAUGGAGAUAUUUGUUAAAGAUUUAUUGGUAGAAGAUGGGCAUGCGUAUGAUUAGAUAGUUGGUGAGGUAACGGCUCACCAAGUCAACGAUCAUUAGGGGUUCUGAGAGGAAGGUCCCCCACACUGGUACUGAGACACGGACCAGACUCCUACGGGAGGCAGCAGUGAGGAAUAUUGGUCAAUGGACGAGAGUCUGAACCAGCCAAGUCGCGUGAAGGAAGACGGUUCUAUGAAUUGUAAACUUCUUUUGUGCAGGAAUAAAGUGGUUACGUGUAACCUUUUGUAUGUACUGUACGAAUAAGGAUCGGCUAACUCCGUGCCAGCAGCCG
rnacentral:rRNA from 1 species